CGUGCUGUCAAACCGUGCUGGUCGUGGGCCUUUUGUGGCCAAUCUGGGACACGUUCAACUCAAUUGAGGCCAAGAACGGGCAAAAGGAGGCCUUCUGGCUCAAGUACUGGUGCUGCCUAGGAAGCUUCCUAGUCCUGGACAACAUGUUGGGGCUUGUCUUGUGCGGCCUCCCCGAAACAAGCCAUGGCAGCGCCGUCAGGCUGGCCGUACUCGUUUGGAUGCAGGCAUACGUUAGCCAAGCACCAGAACAGCUUUACGAACGGGCAUUUCGUUUUCAAAUGAAGCUGUGGGAGCCGGACAUCGACAAAGUUCUCAAUUACACCGUCGCUGAGACAGCAGUAACUGCCUGAGGAACAAUAAAUUGACAUUUUUAGCUUCA